AUUGAACGCUGGCGGCAGGCCUAACACAUGCAAGUCGAGCGGAGCGGCGGACGGGAGAGUAAUUCCUAGGAAUCUGCCUGGUACUGGGGGAUAACGUCCGGAAACGGGCGCUAAUACCGCAUACUCUCAGAUGAGCCUAGGUCGGAUUAGCUAGUUGGUGGUGUAAAGGCCUACCAAGGCGACGAUCCGUAACUGGGCUGAGUAGAUGAUCAGUCACACUGGACAUGAGACAAGGGCCAGACUCCUAUGGGAGGCAGCAGGGGGGAAUAUUGGACAAUGGUCGAAAGCCUGAUCCAGCCAUGCCGCGUGUGUGAAGAAGGUCUUCGGAUUGUAAAGCACUUUAAGUUGGGAGGCGUUACCACCAGAAUAAGCACCGGCUAACUUCGUGCCAGCCGCCGCGGUAAUUC
rnacentral:rRNA from 1 species